UGGCUGAAAAGCGCGUAGUCCAAAGCACUUCAGCCGCAUCGGCUGUCCAUCCCGCCACAAGCUCGCGCAGAUCACACGAAGCUCAAGGCUUGUCUGGCAUUCUCUCUAAUCGACAAAAGACAACCCAUGGCUCAGAUUAUUGGAACCUCGCCGGAGGACCUGCGGCGGGCUGCUGAUGCCCUAGUGCAAGGCAAGCUGGUCGCCAUCCCAACCGAAACUGUAUACGGAUUAGGCGGCAAUGCGCUGAUUGGAAGUGCUGUCAAGAGCAUUUACGCCGUGAAGGGGCGGCCACCUACCGACCCACUCAUUUGUCACGUGUACACCUUGGACGGUGCACGUAAGUUGUGGGAUCUGAAGUGGGAUGAGGGGGCGGUGGAGCUGGCGUGCACAAUCGGGGCGGCUCUGUGGCCAGGACCGUUGACGAUCGUCUGCAAAGCAAGCCCGACCCUUCCGGAUUGCGUUACAGGUGGUUCUGGCUACGUGGGGGCUCGCAUCCCCAACAAUCCAAUAACGCUGAAACUGCUAGAGAUGGCUGAUGUUCCUGUAGCUGCCCCAAGCGCGAACACCUUCGGGCAUGUAAGCCCUACGACCGCGCAGCACGUUUACGACGACUUGGCUGCUCGAGACCCGGAGCUACUGAUCAUUGACGGCGGACAAAGCGCGAUCGGCAUCGAGUCGACUGUAGCCAAGGUUGAAGCGAACGACUUGGUGGUGGUGCUGCGCAGGGGGUGCAUUACCGUGAGCAUGAUUCACCGCGCCAUUGCAGACAGGUACCCGCAGACGCGUGUCGAAAUUCGAGACACGCGCAUCAUGUGUGACCCAGCGAAGGCGCCGAUGGUAAGCCCUGGCCAGCUUCUCACUCACUACUCCCCACACGUGCCGUCGUCCCUCCUCACACCCGGUAGCUUGGCAGCGUUGACAGCAUCUGCGGAUGUGCCUGUCUACGUUCACCGCGGCAAAGACGUUGUGCCUCUUUGCGAGACCGUUGUCCUUGAUUUUAACGGAUACUUAUCGCGAUUCAGAGACACCUGCCUCUUCUACCACGACAUGAGCCCUGACGGCAAUCCUGAAGAGGGGUGCUACGCCGUCUUUGAUGCGUUGCGAGCGACCGAGACAAUUAAGGGGGCGAAGGGUCUUGUAUUUCCGCUCAUCUCAGAGUGGCCACACGACAAGGCAAAAGAAGAUUUACUGACCGCGAUGGAGGACCGACUAUUUCGCGCAGCAUCGGGCGUGACGGCCGUCCUGAUCAAUGAGGCCGCACCUGCUUCGGCGCGACACACCGACUAAAGGGCCGUUGAGUGUGAGCGGAGAGCAGCGACUCGCCGCAACCUCAGUUCGCGUACCAAAAGAAAAGGAGAUGGAAGCGGGUGCCGCAGCUCCUAAUUCGCUGACUACUCACUAACGGAAGGAACAUAUAGGUUUCACAUAACUGCCGAAUUCAGCGUUUAAUGGAUGCAAUAACCCUUUCCUUUUCUCUCAACUUGACCCCUCUCUUCUCGGGUGUCGCGCUGCUGCCUUCGCUAUGAUCGGCUACUAUUACAAUCCCCUCCCGUUCCCCCCAAAGAAAAAGGAAUAAACAACUCUUUUUGCUUCUCUUACUACCUCAAGUGCAAGGGAGAACUAAAUCU
rnacentral:misc_RNA from 1 species